UACGAAGGGAGCUAGCGUUGUUCGGAAUCACUGGGCGUAAAGCGCACGUAGGCGGAUGUGUCAGUCAGGGGUGAAAUCCCGGAGCUCAACUUCGGAACUGCCUUUGAUACAGCACAUCUGGAGUCCGGAAGAGGUGGGUGGAAUUCCUAGUGUAGAGGUGAAAUUCGUAGAUAUUAGGAAGAACACCGGUGGCGAAGGCGGCCCACUGGUCCGGUACGGACGCUGAGGUGCGAAAGCAUGGGGAGCGAACAGG
rnacentral:rRNA from 1 species